rnacentral:misc_RNA from 1 species
AGCAGCCGCGGUAAUUCCAGCUCCAAUAGCGUAUAUUAAAGUUGUUGCAGUUAAAAAGCUCGUAGUUGAAUUUCGGGAUCAGUUGGUCGGUCGUGCCUCGGUACGUACUGGUCAAAUUGAUUCCUACCUUCUGACGAACCACGAUGUCAUUAAUUUGGUGUCGCGGGAAAUCAGGACUGUUACUUUGAAAAAAUUAGAGUGUUUAAAGCAGGCUCGCGCUUGAAUACAUUAGCAUGGAAUAAUGAAAUAGGACGUUUGAUUCUAUUUUGUUGGUUUCUAGGAUCGACGUAAUGAUUAAUAGGGAUAGUUGGGGGCAUUAGUAUUCAAUUGUCAGAGGUGAAAUUCUUGGAUUUAUUGAAGACUAACUACUGCGAAAGCAUUUGCCAAGGAUGUUUUCAUUAAUCAAGAACGAAAGUUAGGGGAUCGAAGACGAUCAGAUACCGUCGUAGUCUUAACCAUAAACUAUGCCGACUAGGGAUCGGAUGAUGCUAAUUUUUUAAUGACUCAUUCGGCGCCUUAC